ACCGCUGAACCGUCCGAAAACCGGUCGAUCGGGCCGGAUUGGGACCCGGCCGAUUCUCAUCAAACAAUGUCAUUUCGCGUAAAAACCAAACAGAAGCACGCGUGAAGCCAGCAGUCAAGCCACAACCAACCCUUUCUUCAAUUCUUCCAUCUCCCUCCUCUCCAAAGAAACAGAAACCCUAGCCUCACCGCCGCAAGCUACAAGAAGUGAGCCACCACCGCAGUCCGUUGCAGUCAAGGGCAGGUGUAAAGCACAGAAGCCUCGCCUCCUAACCCUAGAGCUCCUUCUCUGAUUUCUUUUAUCUCCUUCCUUCUCCCCAAACAAAAACGAAAACCCUAGCCUCGUCGCCGUCUGUCGCAGUCAGGGGAUCGUCUCUUCAUUCCGUUGACGUCCUCCAAAGAAGAACCCCUGUUGGCUCUCAGUCUUCGUUCUCUACUGUCGACGUUGUCUGCUCACAAUCAUCCUUCAAAGCUCUGAAGAUUUCUGGAGGCAUUGGAUGAAGCCGAUAGAGACGCUGAAGAGAAGACCCAAUUGGAAGACAAAUACUGCUCUUGCUGCAAUUCUCGCUUGGAAGAAUUGGAUAGCACGGAACCUUAAAAUCUUUGAAGCCAAGGACUCCUCUAUUGAUGUGCUCUAUUCAUCUGUUGUGGAACUCCUUGAAGAAUUUGGGUAGAGAAAGGAAAGGUAGCAUUUGACUGGAUUUGAUGGAGUAUCCACAGAAAAAGAGAAGAAGGCGAAUGAUGCUGUCAACCCUGAACUCUCUGCACUCAAACUUGAAUAACUCGAGCUACAUAGGUCCAAUGGAUGUGAUUUUAGUGGCAUUGGAAAGCUAACUUCCAGAGCUUUCCAACGAUAUAUAAUAGUUCAUACUUCUCUUCCAUCAACUCUGUCAAGGCUGCGCCUAACUUGAGAAAUCUCAAGUUAUGCGCAAGACACAACAACAACACACAAGUUAUGGCGACUCAUGGCGAGUUAGGCGCAAAGGAAACCAAGUUAGGCACCAUGGAAGCUUGUACUCUCGGGAGGGUACAAGUAAGGCGCAGCAAAAAAGGCCCCUUAAACCAAGUAAGGUGCAACUUCCACCCCUCAAUCCAAGUAAGGUGCAGCAUUGAAGGGCAAGAUCAAGUUAGGCAUGGUCCACCCAUGAAUCUAGCAAGUAAGGCGUGCUCUUCAGUUGAAGUUAGGCGCCUUGCGCCUUGUGUGGUGAACAGCAUGAAGUUAGGCGUGGAUCCUAGUGAAGCCAAGUGGUCCCCAUGUUACAUGAAUGAUUAGAAUAGGAACAGGAGCAAUUAAGAAGAAUUUUUGACACCCUGUUUUCAGAUUUUCUUUGCUUGAGGACAAGCAAACUUUUAAGUUCGGUAUUGUCGCUUCGCUUUUGGCCUUUUCUGUUUAUUUUAAUAGCACCAAAGGGAGAUGAAUGUUCUUCAUGGAGGAAUGAGAUGGCCACCAGCAUAACUGAGGUGGUUGAGUUCCUUUCAUUCUAUUUCUCUUUCGUUCUUAUUUUGUUGUCUUCUGUUUUCUGUUGCUUUGAUUACCUGCAUAAUCUUUAGUACAUUUAGUUCUUAGAUUUAGUUUCAUUCUGUCAUUUUCUUUUGGUUAAAAUUUUUUUUCCUCAUGCAUUGCUCACUAAGCUUGAAUUCAAAAGAAAAAGAAGUGAUGUAUUGCAUGAGAAAUUGAGUUUAUAUUUAAGAGUAGUUUUAUUUACUUAAAUGUGAUGGCAUUAUUUGUGAUUUUGAAAUGCAUGAUAUGAACAGUGCAUAUUUGAAUUUGAAUCAAAUGAUGUUGAUGUAUAAGGAACAAGCAUUUAGAGAACUAUUAUGACUUCUCUAAAAUUAGUGAAAGCUUAAUCCUUGAAGCAAAAGAAACAGCAAAAGAAAAAUAAAAGCAAGGUUCAAGGCUCUGAGUAUCAAUGACUAAGGAGGUCAAACAUGAUUAAAAGCUCAAAGAGUUGUUUUCUUAGUCAUAUGCUUGUGGUGUUCUUGUGUCAAGUAAUUCUUGAGACAGAAUAUUUAGAGUCAAGACCAAAUGCAUUUAGUAGAGUAUGUCCAAGGCUUUGAGCACCACUGUCUCGGAGUAAGUGAAGAAAAAAUCCAAACUUAAAGAGAGUUCCCCAAUUAAGUGCUUGUGGUGUUUUUGUGUCAAGUAACCCUUGAGACAAAACAUUUAAAGUCACGACUAGGUUCAAGGUGCAAGUGAUGCGUGAGCAUCUUUCCUAUCUUUUCCUAGUGAAAUUGCAUGUAAUUUGUGAGUUUAAUUAAGAAUUAAUUAUAUUUUAGCCACUAUGGAUGCUAUUUUGAGUUUUGUGCAAUUUUAUUUAUUUUAGGUAGCAUUCGGAUGGAUUUGAUGAAGUUUCUGCAGAGAAAGAGAAGAAACCAAGGAGAUGGCAGCGAGGAGCGACGCGCAUGCGUGACUGACGCGUACGCGUGAUCUGGAAGUGUCCAUGGCGACGCGUACGCGUGACUGACGCGUACGCGUGAAUUGAAGAUUUGCUCAGCGACGCGUCUGCGUGACUCGAAGAAAAGACCAUCAACGCGUCCGCAUGACUGACGCGUACGCAUGACAUGCGCCACGUGCAGAAAACGCAAAAAAAUGCUGGGAGCGAUUUCUGGGUUGUUUUAACCCAGUUUUCAGCCUAGAAAA